rnacentral:rRNA from 1 species
AUUGAACGCUGGCGGCAUGCCUUACACAUGCAAGUCGAACGGCAGCACGGGAGCAAUCCUGGUGGCGAGUGGCGAACGGGUGAGUAAUAUAUCGGAACGUGCCCAGUCGUGGGGGAUAACGUAGCGAAAGCUACGCUAAUACCGCAUACGAUCUACGGAUGAAAGCGAGGGAUCGCAGGACCUCGCGCGAUUGGAGCGGCCGAUAUCAGAUUAGCUAGUUGGUGAGGCAAAGGCUCACCAAGGCGACGAUCUGUAGCUGGUCCGAGAGGACGACCAGCCACACUGGAACUGAGACACGGUCCAGACUCCUACGGGAGGCAGCAGUGGGGAAUUUUGGACAAUGGGCGCAAGCCUGAUCCAGCAAUGCCGCGUGCAGGAUGAAGGCCUUCGGGUUGUAAACUGCUUUUGUACGGAACGAAACGGUGAGCUCUAAUACAGUUUGCUAAUGACGGUACCGUAAGAAUAAGCACCGGCUAACUACGUGCCAGCCGCCGCUGUAA